CCUACGGGAGGUAGCAGUGAGGAAUAUUGGUCAAUGGACGAGAGUCUGAACCAGCCAAGUAGCGUGAAGGAUGACUGCCCUAUGGGUUGUAAACUUCUUUUAUACGGGAAUAACAUGUUCCACGUGUGGGAUUUUGUAUGUACCAUAUGAAUAAGGAUCGGCUAACUCCGUGCCAGCAGCCGCGGUAAUACGGAGGAUCCGAGCGUUAUACGGAUUUAUUGGGUUUAAAGGGAGCGUAGGUGGAUUGUUAAGUCAGUUGUGAAAGUUUGCGGCUCAACCGUAAAAUUGCAGUUGAAACUGGCAGUCUUGAGCACAGUAGAGGUGGGCGGAAUUCGUGGUGUAGCGGUGAAAUGCUUAGAUAUCACGAAGAACUCCGAUUGCGAAGGCAGUUCACUGGACUGCAACUGACACUGAGGCUCGAAAGUGUGGGUAUCAAACAGGAUUAGAUACCCUGGUAGUC
rnacentral:rRNA from 1 species